GAGGGUAUAGCUCAGUGGUAGAGUACAUACUAGCAUGCACGAGGUCCUAGGUUCAAUCCCCGGUACCUCCA
rnacentral:tRNA from 1 species